UACGUAGGGGGCAAGCGUUGUCCGGAAUUAUUGGGCGUAAAGCGCGCGCAGGCGGUCGUUUAAGUCUGGUGUUUAAUCCCAGGGCUCAACCCUGGUACGCACUGGAAACUGGGCGACUGGAGUGCAGAAGAGGAGAGUGGAAUUCCACGUGUAGCGGUGAAAUGCGUAGAGAUGUGGAGGAACACCGAUGGCGAAGGCAGCCCCCUGGGUUAACACUGACGCUCAGGCACGAAAGCGUGGGGAGCAAACAGG
rnacentral:rRNA from 1 species